CCUCUGGGCUGAGUCUCGCACCUCUGGGCUGAAUGCCCAGGCCAGCUCCCCUCCAAGCCACCCUGGGACUGCUGCUGGCCGAGUCCUGAGGGACAGUCUUUAUCUGGCCUUUUCUGAGGUGAGAAGAAAAUUUCUCACUCGGCUUCCUGUUGCCCCUGGGACCUGGCAUGUCCCAAACAAAGCCAACUUCCCCUUCAGAGCUGUUUCCUGUCCUCUUCCUCCCAGUGGUGGGGGGGGCGGGGCCUCAGCCCACUCAGUGUCUCCCACCUGGCUCUGCUCCUCCUCGCGUUCCUUACCGCCGCCCUCCCUCCCAUUUCCUUGGUGAUCAAGUCCUGUGUCCCUGCCUCCCAAGUGCCUGAUCAGAAUAAAUGCUCCUCUUUCUGUCCCCACUGCUACUGGCUGACUUCAGGCCUCAUGACCUAGGGCCGGUGCUGUCACCUGAGUCUCCCCACCGGCCGGGACGCCUCCUGUCGCUCCUCCUCCAGUGGGUGCCCCACAGGCCAUCGGUUCCGUGUCACACCGCACAUCUGUCCUCGUCAACCCCGGACUGAAAACCCUGCCGAGCCCUCUCCUGUUUAAGCCCCAACACCUCCUUGGUGCCCUGGGAGGGCCUUCGAGUGGCCCCGGCUCUCCGUCCUUGUCGCCCAACACCCUGGGUGCCUGUGCUGUCCCUGCACGCUGCGGGCACGCACUCUGCGGGUCUCUACACUUUGGCACGUGCGGUCCCCGCUCCUGGACCCCUGGUUCCUCUUGUGCUGGCAAGCUCCUGUCCUCCUUCCAGGCACAACUGUAACGUCCCCUUCUCCACCCGCCGCGAGCGUCUGGGGUUCUGGCAGCGCCCUGUACCUUCCUGCUGCCUUCCUUCGCUGGGCUCUUCUUCCCGGGCUGGAGCUGCUCUCCAGGAGUCCUGGGAAGACAAGGACAGGGUCUUACUCGUUCCUGUAAGCCGGGCGCCUGACACAGCUGCUGCCGAGGGAACGUUGGCUCAACGGAGCACUGCUUUCUCUUCCAGCGAGCUGGCCUCCCCUCUCCUUGCAGAAGCCCGAGGGAACAGGAGUGCCGGCCCCGAGGAACAACGUCCUGGCAGGAAGGAACGGGCCUGCUCUCCUUUCCCUCUGCUCAUCUGGGUGUCAGCCUUGGCCUCCAGCCUGGCCGCUCCCGCCUUCCGCGGCUCGGGGCUCCUGCUCCCUCCCAGCCCCUGUGACUGCACCCCACAUCACAGGAAUGCCUCCUCCUGCCCCUUGGGGGCUGGUUUCCUCCUCUCUUUGAAGGCCAGCUUUGGACUCCGCAUUCGCCUACACCCUCUCCGACCUGUGGAAGUGCCCCAAACGUCAGGGCGUGUCCCGCCGGCCCUCCCGCUGGAGGCUGCCGUCCACUCCCAGGCCCGCCCCCUGGGGCUAGUGGUCCCCGAGGAGACGGUGCCCUGGCGUCCAGCGCUCUGCCCGUGAGAAAGGGCUCCUUCUUGACUGGUGACUGGCGCUGCAGGACCUCGGGAGGAAGCUGCACACAGGGGACCCGCAGACGUGAGCAGCCACUUUGCCGCCCCUGCUCGGGGUGGUGCCUGCGCAGGGAGCGUGGCACAGCACAGGGGGACUUCUGUGCGCUUCUGGCGAUGCCCCCACUUGCCUUCGCGCUACAGACCGUUAUGUCACCUUUGGCUGGGGGCGGGAGAUGCUCGGCUCCACGUCUGCGGCACUCCUGAGCCCUCGGGUCUAUGUCCUCUUUAGCGUCCUCAGUCUCUGGGCGGAUCAGCAACGACCCGGGGCCCAGGCCCCCUCCGCAGCUGGAGGGGGCCUUCCCGACAUCAGGCCAUGGCCCAGUGAAUGGGUCCAGCUUACUUGUUUGAGAGAUUCAGGAGUGGGGCCUGGGUGCGGGGGUGGGGGUCUGGAGCGAGUGUUGCCAUCCCGUAACCGGGGUUACAGGGCUCGGAUGACAGGACUGAUGGGCUCUGCGUGUAGGGCCCGUUCAGCCGCCUCUUGACUAUCUGUGUGCUCUCUGUGGCGACUUUACAGAGUGCAGAGAGGAUGUGAAGAGUCAGGAGCAAGGGACGCCCAUAAGGCAUCACCUGGAGGCAAGAAGGUUCACGAGUUCACGAGUGGGGCGUGUCUCCCCUGCUCUUUUUCUACACGUUUCUCCCUUACUCGCUGGAGUGCGUGCAGGGUUACCAUUGGGCCUUACAUCUUCUCACUCACGUUAAGCGUUACCCCAGGUUCUGAAGGAUUCCUCGGCAGGCAUCUCACUAAGCCCUGCACCUGGUUCUGGAGGAUAGUGGAUCGCAGCCUCUCCCUGCUCAAGACCAACUGACAGAUCCUCGGGAACGGCCCUGCAUACCUUGGACCAGUGACAGCCUCUGCUCAGAAACCCCAGCCCAGGGGUCCUCCUGAAGCAGCCGCAGAGACAGAGUUUAUUGCGUCUCCCACAUCAGGGUCAAGCUGGGCCCGGUGUCCAACAGCCUCCGGCUGUCUGGUUGUCCCGCUUCCCGGUGUUGGGUCUCGCCCAGCGCGGAGCCCGAGGUCCCUUUGGGAGGGGCUGGGGGGGUCAUACGAGUGCCUGCUUGCCGUGGUGCUACAGCGUCCUUCCCCCUGGGGACCCGCCACGUCCCUGGUCCGUGGUUCCACGUCUGAGAACUGGCUCAGGGGCAGGACCUGGGCGAGGGAUCAUGACUUGUUCACUGGGGCGGCUGCCCUCGGCCUCCUGCCGCCCGUCCUUGCUCUUUUGAGUGUCCGUUUUAGACUGUAUCUUGGUCGGUUGCCCAUCCAUCGAGCCCCCGGGAAGCCGUGUUGUACUGACCACCUGCCCCGCUCGGUGGGUCGGGCCUCCUGGUCAGUGGUGGCCAUCGUCAUAGCCCCUGGUUUCUGGCCGCUCAGUGGCGCCCCACGACCUCUGCUGCAGUCCCUGGGCGGCGGGGGAGGGCAGGGGGUCAUCCCUUUCCUCCCUCACCAGGCCUGGCGCGCCCGGCCUGUGUUGUGAGGUGACUUCGCUCUGCUUGGGGGCCUGGCAGUGGGCUGACCACCUCGCCCCAUUUUAACUGCAUGCUGCUGCUUGUAGCGCUUCACGUCCCACCGCAAAUUGGGGCGGCUGGCUACCCUGUCUCCUGGGACGGAGGGCACCUGUGGGGAAGGACUUGGGUCAUGUUUGCUCCCUCGGGGGUGAGGCGGGGACACCAGCUCUUUAGGGGGAGGGGUGGGCCACUGCCACAGGCUCAGAAGUUCAGCGACAUCUGGGGAGUCCCGGUCUUCUGGGGCUUCCUCCCAGUCUCCCUGGUCCUCGUGUCAAGGGUGCAGGUUUUCCCAAGUGGGCUUCCGAUGCUGGCGGGACAGACGUGCCUCGGUUGAACAUCCAGCGUCUUUGAGCUUCAGCCACUUCUCUCGAAUCCUGGGUUGGACGAUUGUCCGCUGCCUGAGAUGGGGGCUCCUUUGUAAGGCCGCUUCCUUCUCCCGGCUUGUGAUGAGCUUUCCAAUUCUUGUUCCUGACUUCAGAAAGAAGAUUAGAGAGAUGACGAGUUGCCCAGGCUGAGCGGAGUGGCUGCUGCUGAUGACCCAGAGAAAGAAGACGUGGUGCGGGUUUGCCCAGAGCAGCUCACCGAUGGCCUGAACUGUGGCAGCCUCCAGUGCCAGGAGGAAGUAGCCGUGUGGGCCCCCUGCUUACUGCCUCUGGACCUACUGCACUUGAAGGAGGAGGGCGGGCGGUGAAGACAAGACGAUGUGGGAGGGUGACCUUGGUGUGUUGCAUCGCCCAACUAGAAUGUUCCCAGAUGAUACUUUGAGGAGGCUUUGGGAAAGGGGCCAGCUUUGUGGCUGAAAUGACACUAGGGUUUGACGCUAGCAAUGUGCUGCUUGCUCAUUGUGCCAUCUGCUGGCCAGCUCUUCCAACUUCACCUUUUUUUUUUUAAUUUUUUUUUUUAAUUUUUUUAUUUUAUUUUAUUUUAUUUUUAUUUAUGGCUGUGUUGGGUCUUCGUUUCUGUGCGAGGGCUUUCUCUAGUUGCGGCAAGUGGGGGCCACUCUUCAUCGCGGUGUGUGGGCCUCUCACUAUCGCGGCCCCUCCCAUUGCAGAGCACAGGCUCCAGACACGCAGGCUCAGCAAUUGUGGCUCAUGGGCUUAGUCGCUCCGCGGCAUGUGGGAUCUUCCCAGACCAGGGCUCGAACCCGGGUCCCCUGCAUUGGCAGGCAGAUUCUCAACCACUGCGCCACCAGGGAAGCCCUCACCUUUUUUUUGAAGUAUAGUUGAUUUACAAUGUGUUAGUUUCUGGUGUACAGCAACUAUUCUUUUUCAGAGUCUCUUCUAUUGUAGUUUAUUACAAGAUAAUGAAUAUAGUCCCCUAUACUAUACAGUAGGGCUUUGCUUAUAUAGUUUAUACAUAGUAGUGUGUAUCUGUUAAUCCCAAGCUCCUAAUUUAUCCCUCCCCCUGCUUUUCCCUUUUGGUAACUGUAAGUUUGUUCUCUAUGUCUGUGAGUCUGUUUCUGUUUUGUAAAUAAUUUCAUUUGUAUCAUCUUUUAAGUGAUAUCUUAGAAUAUUUGUCUUUCUCUGACUUACUUCACUUAGUAUGAUAAUCUCUAGGUCCAUCCAUGUUGCUGCAAAUGGUAUUAUUUCAUUAUUUUCUCAUGGCUGAGUAGUAGUCCAUUGUGUAUAUAUACCACAUCUUCUUUAUCCAUUCAUCUGUCGAUGGACAUUUAGGUUGCUUCCAUAUCUUGGCUUUUGUGAAUAGUGCUGCAAUGAACAUUGGGGUGCAUGUAUCUUUUCAAAAUAGAGUUUUUGUCUUUUCCAGAUGUAUACUCAAGAGUGGGAUUGCUGGAUCAUAUGGUAGUUCUACUUUUAGUUUUUUAAGAAACCCUCCAUACUGUUCCUGUUCUCCAUAGUGGCUGCAGCAAUUUACAUUCCCACUAACAGUGUAGGAGGGUUCCCUUUUCUCCACACCCUCUCCAGUGUUUAUUGUUUGCAGAUUUUUUCAUGAUGGCCAUUCUGACCUUUGUGAGGUGAUACCUCAUUGUAGUUUUGAUUUGUAUUUCUCUAAUAAUUAGCGACAUUGAGCAUCUUUUCAUGUGCCCAUUGGCCAUCUGUAUUUCUUUGGAGAAAUGUCUAUUCAGGUCUUCUGGCCAUUUUUUGAUUGGGUUGUUUGUUUUUUUUGCAACUUCAGUUUUAAUUAAAGAUGGUCGGUAAUAAGAGCUUCCAUGGCAGAAAGCUCUAUGCAGUGCUUGGGAAGUGUGAAUGUAAAAACGAGGUGCUGAAACUAAUAUGUCAGUACAUUGUAAAGUAUUUCUUCUCCUUUUCCUCCUCUGACCAUUUCUGCCUUCUUGAUCUUUCUACCUUUCCCAAGGCAUAGAGAUGUCAGAUACAUAACAAUGUAUAUUAAAACAGAUUCUUAAUGCUUGUUACCAUGAAGAUAUAGCAACUGAGUUUACAUUUUCCGUGUGUAGGGUGUAUGCCGGGAGCCCAGGCACUGGCAAGGGAGCCCAUUGUUUGUAUCCCAUGGGUCCGUGAGGAUGGAUUGCCCCGUUUUUUGAGUGGAUGUGUGUCCAUGUAGCUCAUAGGCUGGGCCAGUGCAUGGGGCACACAGAGGGGCUGCCAGUGUGUGCUCACGAUGUGAAUGAUGCGAUCCAGAGCCUGGGCUUUGGGGCCUGGGGACCUGGGUUUGGAUGUCAGCUCUUCUUUUCCUGUGUAGCCUUGGCACUUACUAUCUCUGUGUGUCUCUCUCCUCUCCUGAAAACCAGGUGGCACAAAAUGCCACUAAUGUCACAGGGCUUUUCCAGGGCACAGCCUUGGACGUCAUGUCCUCUUCCACUGGGGCUCGGGGUCUGUCUUUGCUUCUACUUUUGCAGGUUAGAGGUUAUUCCGGCAACAAUGACUAUGAAGAUUUUUCUUGAUUCCCAGGCUUGGUAAAUUUCAGAGUUCUCUAACAGUGUUCAAGGGACUAUGAUGUGUCUUGGUAAAAUUCCUUUAUGCUCUUUGGAAGAUCUCAGCUGUGCCAUGUAGAAAAUGAGAUGAUUGGUCUAGAAUAGUGAUUCUCCAACCUUUGUGCCCAUGGGAUAUCUUAGUCUGGCUGGGGGUUCAACCUCCCAAAGAGAUAAGAGGCAGGCUGCUCAGCUGAAGUAAGGCCUGCUCCCCAUACCCCUUCUUCUUCCCAAUCUCUUCCUGGCCCACUCCUCUUAGAGGCCCAUGAAGCAUUCCACAGAACCGAGUUUGAAACCCAGUGAUCUAGAUCUCAAACUUCAGUGUGCUUUCAAAUCCCUCGGUGAUCUUGCCAAAUGUGGCUUCUGAUUCAGAAGUUCUGGCGUGGACCUGAGAUUCUGCACUUCUCAGCAGAUGCCAGUUUAUGCCUAAGUGGUUGGUCCAUGGAUAGCAUUUUGUAAAGCAAGGCUCUGAUCACAGAAUGCCUUUGAUCUUUCACAUCCUUUGAUUCUGAGUUCUUUACUUACUGAUACUCUGAUUAUAUUACAAAUUGAAAAUUUGUGUAGAAUGAGUGGUUUCUGUUGAGGGCAGAAUUCUCAAUUAUACAGAUGUGGAAACAGACCUAGGAUGGAGGAGAAGGAUGAAGGAGACAGAAUGUAUUUGUUUCCCAACUUUGAGUGACGGAAGCAUCUGUAAAAUAUUUUGUAAAGAGCACAAUUUGGGUUAAGAAGCUGUUGCACUUUGUUAAGAAGAGUUGCACUUUGGUUUGGUUGCAGUCUGGAUCAUAAGGAAGUCUCAUUUUGACACUUGUCUAAGGGAACUUCUGUCAGAAACAAGUGACCUGCUUUCAGACCCUGGCCGAGGCCUGUCUCCACGCUCUAGGUCUAAGUGAAGGUUUAGAAUUGUGGACAGCUGUCGGUGUGUCUGGCAUCCAUGUGCUUUCUUGAUAAUCUUAAUGAUGUGGCACCUAGAAAGAAGCUUUCAUGUAAAUGGCCUCCAUCCUUUCUAUCCAGUGCUGAGUUGAGUGCCCCAGGUUCAGUGUUGGUAGACUGCUCUGUCUUCUGCACUCCUUGCUGGGGCUCCUCCUGUGUGUGUCCAGUAGACCAGCUGCUUUACCAGACUAUAAAGCUUUGCUUGUCAGUCUUUGUUUCAAUUCAGUAAGGUCAUGGCUAAGGUGGGGAACCCACUUUAGCAAGGAGACAAAAGCUCAACUGCUAGAGUAGCCAGUGUGUUUAAAUGUCACAUGUCCUAUGUGGAAUAUGGCAGAAGACCAGAAUGUUCUUUGUGGCUUUGCCUGAGCCCUUCGUUAAGAAGGAUGAAAGCUUUCCCAUGGGGGCAGAGGUGGCAUGUGCACCAUCUGAGGAAGCGAGGGGAGACUGAAUCCCAGGGAGGCUGGAUCCGAACACAGAGGUGUUCUUUUUGUGCUCAGUUGGUGAGGCGAACAGUCUAGUAGAUGUGUGUUCCAAGGGCUUGUCAAUGGGCUUCUUUAGCAUCAGGCGGGUGGGAAACAAAGAGGGGGUGUGCCCAACUUCCCCUCCUCCAGAAGCUGACCGUCUGGUGACUGGUCCAUCAAUAGCUCUGUCAGCGGCCAUCGGUCACCCUCAUUCCUUCCUUCCUUCCUUCCUUCCUUGAUCCCCUCACUCUCUGGUGUGUGAGCACCUCCUUGGCGCCAGGCAUUGGGUCUACAAAGAUGGAGAAGACAGGGAACUUGCUGACAAGCCACAGACAGGUGGAAAGCACAAGGGGCCUUAAGAAAGGUGUAGCUCAUAGGUUCUGGAGUCUCUGAGGAGGGAGGCAUAACUUGUGGCCAGGCAUGGUGAGGCUGGGGCUGUGGACUCUUCCCCAGAACAUUCAGUUCACCACGGUUACCUCUGGAGGGUCUGUGCCUGAGCCUUCCUCAGACACCUUUUACAAAGCACAAGAAUCUCUUUUCCCCGUCACCCCUCUCCCACUCGGUUUCCCACCCUUACCCCCGUUACAAAAGUAGCAGUGAGGACUAGAGGAGCCGCAGAUAGAAUCCUUAAGGAGGAAAAGUUUCUGGAAGAACAUCCUGUUCUGGUGUUUCCUGAGCUCUCUUAAAGCUGGGGCCUUUGCUCACAUGACAGAAACAGAUUUCUAAUCCCUCUCCGGCCCCCUGUCACCCCAGCCUCCCCUGUAGCAUAACCAGGCUUCCUAAAACACAGCUUUGCCCAGGGCAACCCCUGGCUCCCAAAGCUUGGCUUUCAAGUGCCUGCACCUCUCUGGCCUCAGCUUGCCCGUCUGUCAAAUGAGGACAAUAAAAAUAGUCCUCAACUCGUGGGGUGACGAUGAGCCCUCAGUGGGCCCGGGCUCAGCCAUCGCUCUGUACACUUCACGAGGCUGUGACCCUAAUGUGGCCUUCCUCACAGCGGCCCUCUCCUGCAUCCUUGGUAGUGGCCGCGCUGUCCACUCCCGCAGCCUGACUCUCCCGGUCCCCAGCCCUCCACGCUGCUCACUCACGGCAGAUGCCCUCCCUCCUCACUUUCUGCCUCCGCCUGAAGCCUCUGAGGCUGGCUUCAGGACCGUUCCUUCUCUACAACCUUCCAGAACCCUGUCUAUUGUACUCUUUUUGCGCAAGGUUACCUUGGGCGGUUUCUGUUUUAUGUGUGUGUGUGUGCCCUGUUACCCCAGCUAGACUGCAAUCCCUCUGAGGAUAAGGAUCCCACCCAGGUCACCUUGGUGCUGUCCCCAGAGCCUGCCUCUGCCCGAGGAGACACUGACUAGAUGCUGACAGAUGGUGGCAAUGAACCGUUCUGUUUAUCGCCACGCGGCGCUCAUAGGCUUGCUACCACGACACGCUGUUGUGCUGCUCUGGACUCAGCAGGUGAUGAGAUCGGCCCUGCCCCAGGGGUCAGCAUGUGCGAGGUGGGUCAGCAAGGCGGGUAUGUCAGUAAUCUCAUUGCAGGCAGGACCAGACCCUCUCCACAGAACCAUCUGAAGUGCUGUGAGGCCUCAGGAGAGUCCGGGAUGAAUCUCCCUGGCAGAUGAGGAAGGCUCCAGAGGGAGGCGGGCUAUGAGCUGUGCACCGAGGAGUGGGCAGGGUUUGGAAGGUAGUGAUAUAGGAGUCCACUCCCGAGAGGCGAGCUUUCGGUUGGGAGGACAGGAGAUCAGAGGCGGUGAGGAAGAAGAGCCCAGGCAGAGGAGUUGGGGCCAAGGUGCCACCCACAUCUCAUCUCCUUCAGUCCUGGAAUCAGCCUGGCAAGACCGGUGCUGUUAGACCCACCGGGCAGAUGAGGAAACCGAGAGCGCAGACGCCGAGGGACUCGGCUGAGCUCUCCCAGUUGGCCCGGGGAGAGUUGGGAUUCAAACACAGGUGCAGCCAACCCAGGCUCUGUGUGGCCACCAAGCAGGGUGGGGACACAGGAUGGACACUCCGAGCCUGGUGCCCAGGCUGUUGGCUGCUGCCCUGAGUUAUGCUCCUGGAGUGCAGGGCCGUCCCUGGGCCCUGCGUGUGUUCUUGGCCAAGUCCCUUUGCUACACAUCUCCAAGGCAAGGGGCUCAGCCUCACUGCUUUGACCACUUCACCUCCUUCCAGCUCCCAUGCAGUGUGGCUUAGGAACUUGGAAUCGUGUUGUUCGUGAGCAGGUCCACAGCUUCCUUCAGGUUGUGAGGCGGGCGGGGAGCUGUUGCGCGUGAAUCAGGGGUAUGCAUUUCACAGGGUAUACUUCCUGAUGGCACCCAAAGAGUCAGCUCCGCUCACUCACCUGUGGCUGGUGCUCUCUUGAAUGUAAGGGGAGGCCGAAUCAGAGGGGAGGUUAAGGGCCUGCUGUGUGCCACAGCUGUCCAAAAGCACCAUCCUUAAAUUUUAAUCUCUGGUACUGCAGUUGAGUACUGCCAAAUCCAGCGGCUAUAUUUGUCCUCACACUUGAGGGUCCCAUUGAUGGAUUCUCCAGAAUGCCCAGGGUACCAGAGUUUUCAUCAAGUCUGUCACUUGUUCCUGUGUGACUUCGAAAAAGGUAUACUUUACUUUGCUGCCAAUCCCUCCCAUAUACAUCUUCCUGCCAGGAUAGAGUAGGGCUUGGACCAGGGUCGGUGGGGACAUAAGGGAGUGAAAGUGUCAUCUGCCAUCACAGCAAAUCUGCCCUUGCUUUCCUCCCUCUCUUUCAGACAUUUCGAUGCUUCUCCCUCCUUCCUUCUCCCUUCUUAGCAAAACUACUUCUCAGAAUACAUCCUAUUUGGAAAAUGACUGUUAUUCAUAUCAAAUUAAUCCCAAAGAAGUACUGUCAAUUUCCCGCUAAAUAGCACCAAGAUCGCAGUUUUAAAUUGCUUAUCCGUUCAGGAGAGGGAAGAGUCAGUGAGAGGCGGCGUGUUCUGAGCCACCCAACUGUCUGCAGAGAGGUGGGCGGGCACAGCUCCUGUGCUGCUGUCUGCACUGGGGUAAUGGCGAAGCUAACGGUCCUGCAAAGCUCUGCGCUUCACAGCAGGCUUGCCUGCCAGUCCUUGUGUUCCAGUUCAGGAAAAUGCCUCUCCAGAUCCUUUUCCUCAUCCUAGUAUCACGCUGGAUUCUCCCUGGGCUCCUGGGAAGGCGUUAUCAUUCUCUUCGUUUUAGAGAUGAGGCAGCUGAAAAUCAGAGAGGGAAAGUGAUUUACCUCGGCUGGCACAGUAAGCGACCGAGGCAGGACUCAACCAGUCCUUCUGACAACUACACCACUGACCUGCUCCCUGUCCCCGCAGAGGGCGGGGGGUGGAACGUGGGACCUAGAAGGCCCUUUCAAGCUCAGGAAACACUGGAUGCUGUGACUGUACCAUCUGGGAAUUCAGUCUUGACCUAUUCACAAGGUUGUCUUUCUCAGCCGUUUUGUUGGUUUCCGCGUUGCUCAAUUCGAUUGUGUGCUGGUCCAGCACAGUUCUCUGCUGGUGGUUCAAGAAGCCCACCUCCCCUGAACUGCUUCCUCGUCCUGCCCACUCAGUGUCUACCAAACCUCAUGCUAGAUUUCUUGCCUCAGCCGUGGAGGAAAGACAGCUCUGUAGUUUGGGUCCUUGUGUUGUGUCCCAGUUCAGGCUGUCUUUCCAUCCCUUAGGUCACAUGCUAAUCACUCGUUCCCAGGUGCUUUUGCACGCUGGUUAUCUGGAAUUCAUCCUGAUUGCCUUAUCUUUGCUUCUGGUUAGGUACCCUCCUCCCUUCUGCCGUGUUAUCUGGGUCCCAAGCCUUUUCUCAGUGUUUGGUUCCCCUUCUGUAACUCUCUGGACCAGAGAUGCACAGCGAAGCUAAUGAAGUUCAAGAUCAAGCUUCAGAGUCACUGGCAUUGACAGGCCUGGAAGGGGCCCUAGCAUUGUGGUAUGCGCUAGUCGUAUGGUUUGUAAAUCUACAAAAGGUAUUUCAGCCACAGUUGGUUCAGGGCAUCUCUGUUUCCAUUCUGCUGUCUCCAUCACUCCUGCUCUUAUGUUGGGUGACAAUACAGUGGCCAUGGGCAUAUUGGGAAUCUGGCUAAGGGGACAUUAAAUUGGGAUACACUUAGUUUGGAUUUGGAGAGACAUAUUUAAGGGGCUCCCAACCAAUUCUGUACAUGUUCCAAGCUAUUGCUAGCCGUCUUGUAUUGAAAUUGCUUCCAGGAAUACUCCUGCUUACCGUGCCAAUGCGCACGGUACCAGGACAAGAGGUGUGAGGCUGGAGGGAACGCUGUGAUGUCACUGUGCUUUACAGCACUAGGUACCAGAAGUAUGUUGACAGUGGAGGAGCAUCAAGGUUCACAAUAUAUGGAGCUAGAAGCUAGUCUGUGGGAAAGUCUUCCAGUCAUGAAUCAGAUAUGUAAAGUCAACGAACACAAGUUCUGUCCUGUCAGGAAUAUACUCAGUGUGCAGUGUAUGCAAUUAUAAACACAAGAUAUGUUUAUACUCCUGUUUGGAUGGGGGUUGUGUGAAAUCGCAUUCUUCAGAAUUCCUGAGAUUGUGAGCACAGACGCGAAACAAGACUCCAGACAUUGAGUGGUGUGCAGAAGUUAAUGUAGCAGGCCUGGGACUGCUGUCCUCAGAAAGACCUGCUUGUAAGGGUGGCCUUCUUCUGGCAUCUGGCAUCAUAGCUCUCAGAGUGUCCCCAGUUAAUGGAAAACUGAUGAGAAUGGCUCACUGUGCUUAGACUGUUUAUACAUACAGUGUGCUUUAGGCUGGGCCCCUGCUUUCCUUCUGGCAGUCUGGAAUUCUCCCAGAAGGUGCACGCCAGGCAGACGCUGCCUAUGAGAACAGCCUCGAAGAAAAGCCGUGGGCACUGAAUCUGGGCUGCCCUGGGCAGCAACGUCACACACAUGUCGCCGCAUUUUCUCUGCUGAGGGAAGAGUGUCCUCUGUGUGGCUGCACAUGGGAAGGAGAGAGCAUAAGGAAGUCCGCACGUGGAUUCUUCCAGGCUCUGCCUGUGUCUUUCCCCCUUGUGAUCCACCUUUGUGUCCUUGCUACAUUGCUGUACUAAAUCUUAGCUGUGAGGACAACUAUAUGCUGAGUCCUGUGAGUCUCCGACUAUAACAGAAAUGUGGGAAUAAUAUAUUACAGAGGUUUAUCAGGCAGUUAAUUAAUAAAAAUAUGCUUUAGUUUAUUGUCAUUUUUCCUGAAUUUUGAGAUAUGUCUAGCAUUCGUCGACUUUUUCAAAUGUGUACUCUAUUGUAUUUCUUUUCUCAUUUUAAAUAUUUACUUUUGUUCCUGAUUUUGUAUUGGUAAUUUUGUAUUCUUAUCCUUAACGAGGGCAUCAAGUGUUAUGAAGCUUCAGGUCCCACAAAACCUGGAUCUACCUCUGUCAUGGAUCCAAGACUUGCUAUCUCUUGUUGAUUUUGUAUUGUCACCUCCUAUUUCACGGGUGGGGAAAUUAAAACCCAAAGGGGGAAGUCAAACUUACUUGGCAAAACUGGGAUAGGAUCUAGAUCUUUCAACUCCCAAUUUAAUGCUUUUUUCCCUCCAUUCCUUAAAGGGUUUUGAUGAUUUGUCUGUAAACAAUGGCCAUGAUGCACUGGACAUACACUGGAUGGCACUUAGGAGACUGAAGCUCUAGUCCCUUCUCUUUCAGUAGAUGGAUAAUCUUGAAUGACCCCUUUCUCUUCUGGAGCACAUUUUCUCCUUUUGUGAAAUAAAGAGGCUGGACUAGGUGCUCUUUAGAGGCCUUUCUCUCUCUGAUGUUCCCAAAGAUCAUCAUUCUAGAAAUGCUGAAUCACAGAUCAUAGUUGAAACCACUCAU